UCACAGAAUCCUCUUGCACAAGCUGAAAAACUACGUUGGAUUUUCUGGAGCGGUCCUUCACUGAUCCUGUUUAGAUGGCCGGAGUUAUUUAGUUACGAUUGGCAGCUAUGAAUCUGAGUGAGUGGCCAUGACUUGUUAUGUAACCACAACCAG